UCCCAGCCUAAGUAGUCUCCUCUUGUUCAGAACAUGGGUAUCAUGCAAGUAGGAGACAAGCAUCCAAGAAGGCCAUAUAUGCAUACCCACUCGAAUCAUUUCUUUUUUAAGAACACCUGGGACAUUUUUUUUUUUUGGCUCCUGGGAUAGAUAUCAUGAUGUCGCAUAUCUCUAGAUAAUUCCUUUCGAUUGCUAGUUAAAUUUUAAAAACCUGUACUCUAGAAACCUGUCCCUUUCUAGAGGCUUUUUCGUGCACCGAAAGCUGCUAAGCUUUGUGACUUCUUCUUUUGAUGACGAAGCAUUAUGACUUUUUCUAUUCUAUAUUGCAUUUGUCGGUGCAAAGCUUCCAAACUCGCA
rnacentral:lncRNA from 1 species